UGGGUGACUAGUGACAGAGUGAGGGAAUGGGUGACUAGUGGCAGAGUGAGGGAGGGAAGAGAUGACUAGUGGCAAAGUGAGGGAGGGAAAGGGUGACCAGUGACAGAGUGAGGGGAUGACAGGUGACAGAGUGAGGGGGGUGACUGUCACUAGUCACCCCAUCCCUCUCUCUGUCACUAGUCACUCCCUCCCUAACUCUGUCACUGUGUCACCCCCUUACUCUGUCACUGUGUCACCCCCUCCCUCACUCUGUCACUAGUCACCCCAUCCCUCUCUCUGUCACUAGUCACCCCA